rnacentral:rRNA from 1 species
GACAGAGGGGGCAAGCGUUGCUCGGAAUCACUGGGCGUAAAGGGCGCGUAGGCGGGAUGGCAAGUCGGUCGUGAAAUCCCUCGGCUCAACUGAGGAGAGUCGGCCGAUACUGCUGUUCUUGAGGGAUGCAGAGGAGACUGGAAUUCCCGGUGUAGCGGUGAAAUGCGUAGAUAUCGUAAGGAAGACCAGUGGCGAAGGCGGGUCUCUGGACAGUUCCUGACGCUGAGGCACGAAGGCCAGGGGAGCAAACGGG